ACGACAUUAGCUCAGUUGCUGCUUUGCGCAGAGUAAUAGCGAUACCUUGCCAAGGUAUAGGUCAUCGGUUCGAACCCGAUAUGUCGCUCCA
rnacentral:tRNA from 1 species